AACGUAGAAUUUACCCAUGCAAAAUUCCUACUGUGAUCACAGAAACCAGCCUUAACACAAUACCAUUCCAUACGAGACCAGACAACACACCAUACCACAGCAUAAAACACCAUACAACAGCAUAAAACACCAUACCACAGCAUAAAACACCAUACAACAGCAUAAAACACCAUACCACAGCAUAAAACACCAUACAACAGCAUAAAACACCAUACCACAGCAUAAACACCAUACAACAGCAUAAAACACCAUACCACAGCAUAAAACACCAUACCACAGCAUAAAACACCAUACCACAGCAUAAAACACCAUACCACAGCAUAAAACACCAUACCACAGCAUAAAACACCAUACAACAGCAUAAAACACCAUACA